CCUACGGGCGGCAGCAGUAGGGAAUAUUGCACAAUGGGGGAAACCCUGAAGCAGCAACGCCGCGUGGGGGAUGAAGGUUUUCGGCUCGUAAACUCCUUUUGUUAGAGAAGAUAAUGACGGUAUCUAACGAAUAAGCACCGGCUAACUCCGUGCCAGCAGCCGCGGUAAUACGGAGGGUGCAAGCGUUACUCGGAAUCACUGGGCGUAAAGAGCGCGCAGGCGGGAUAGCAAGCCAGAUAUGAAAUCCUAUGGCUUAACCCUAGGACUGCAUUUGAAACUGUUAGGCUAGAGUAUGGGAGAGGUAGGUGGAAUUCUUGGUGUAGGGGUAAAAUCCGUAGAGAUCAAGAGGAAUACUCAUUGCGAAGGCGACCUGCUAGAACAUAACUGACGCUGAUGCGCGAAGGCGUGGGGAGCAAACAGGAUUAGAUACCCGUGUAGUC
rnacentral:rRNA from 1 species